rnacentral:rRNA from 1 species
UACGUAGGCAGCGAGCGUUGUUCGGAGUUACUGGGCGUAAAGGGUGUGUAGGCGGUUGGUUAAGUUUGGUGUGAAAUCUCCCGGCUCAACUGGGAGGGUGCGCCGAAUACUGAAUGACUUCGAGUGCGGGAGAGGUGAGUGGAAUUCCUGGUGUAGCGGUGAAAUGCGUAGAUAUCAGGAGGAACACCGGUGGUGUAGACGGCUCACUGGACCGUAACUGACGCUGAGACACGAAAGCGUGGGUAGCAAACAGG